rnacentral:misc_RNA from 1 species
GAUGAGGAACGUAGCGAAAUGCGAUAAGUAGUGUGAAUUGCAGAAUUCAGUGAAUCAUCGAAUCUUUGAACGCACAUUGCGCCCUUUGGUAUUCCAAAGGGCAUGCCUGUUCGAGCGUCAUUUGUACCCUCAAGCUUUGCUUGGUGUUGGGCGUCUUGUCUCUAGCUUUGCUGGAGACUCGCCUUAAAGUAAUUGGCAGCCGGCCUACUGGUUUCGGAGCGCAGCACAAGUCGCACUCUCUAUCAGCAAAGGUCUAGCAUCCAUUAAGCCUUUUUUUCAACUUUUGACCUCGGAUCAGGUAGGGAUACUCGCUGAACUUAAGCAUAUCAAUAAGCGAGGA